GAUGUUGGCAUUUCGUGACGACGGCGACCACUAUUCCACAAACGUAUCUAUUUGCCGGAUGAGAAUUUGUCGAAAUGAAAGGCUUUAUCCGGCUGAAAAAGGCUUUUUAACCCCUCACCCCUCACUUUCAUGGUUUCUAAACUUUGAUGUGUGCAAAUUCUUUCUCUAAUAUGCAUAUGGUACCAAAAUGUAAAUAAAUACAUUCGCAAUUUUUGGCAA